rnacentral:rRNA from 1 species
GAUUAAAGAUUUAUCGGUGAUGGAUGGGGAUGCGUCUGAUUAGCUUGUUGGCGGGGUAACGGCCCACCAAGGCGACGAUCAGUAGGGGUUCUGAGAGGAAGGUCCCCCACAUUGGAACUGAGACACGGUCCAAACUCCUACGGGAGGCAGCAGUGAGGAAUAUUGGUCAAUGGGCGAGAGCCUGAACCAGCCAAGUAGCGUGCAGGAUGACGGCCCUAUGGGUUGUAAACUGCUUUUAUAAGGGAAUAAAGUGAGUCUCGUGAGACUUUUUGCAUGUACCUUAUGAAUAAGGACCGGCUAAUUCCGUGCCAGCAGCCGCGGUAAUACGGAAGGUCCGGGCGUUAUCCGGAUUUAUUGGGUUUAAAGGGAGCGUAGGCCGGAGAUUAAGCGUGUUGUGAAAUGUAGAUGCUCAACAUCUGCACUGCAGCGCGAACUGGUUUCCUUGAGUACGCACAAAGUGGGCGGAAUUCGUGGUGUAGCGGUGAAAUGCUUAGAUAUCACGAAGAACUCCGAUUGCGAAGGCAGCUCACUGGAGCGCAACUGACGCUGAAGCUCGAAAAGUGCGGGUAUCGAACAGGAUUAGAUACCCUGGUAGUCCGCACGGUAAACGAUGGAUGCCCGCUGUUGGUCUGAAAUAGGUCAGCGGC